UACGAAGGGGGCUAGCGUUGUUCGGAUUUACUGGGCGUAAAGCGCACGUAGGCGGAUCGAUCAGUCAGGGGUGAAAUCCCAGAGCUCAACUCUGGAACUGCCUUUGAUACUGUCGAUCUGGAGUAUGGAAGAGGUGAGUGGAAUUCCGAGUGUAGAGGUGAAAUUCGUAGAUAUUCGGAAGAACACCAGUGGCGAAGGCGACUCACUGGACAUGUAUUGACGCUGAGGUGCGAAAGCGUGGGGAGCAAACAGG
rnacentral:rRNA from 1 species